rnacentral:rRNA from 1 species
UACAGAGGUCUCAAGCGUUGUUCGGAUUCAUUGGGCGUAAAGGGUGCGUAGGCGGCGCGGUAAGUCGGGUGUGAAAUCUCGGAGCUUAACUCCGAAACUGCAUUCGAUACUGCCGUGCUUGAGGACUGGAGAGGAGACUGGAAUUUACGGUGUAGCGGUGAAAUGCGUUGAUAUCGGAAGGAACGCCGGUGGCGAAAGCGACGUGCUGGACCUCUUCUGACGCUGAGGCGCGAAAGCUAGGGGAGCGAACGGG